rnacentral:tRNA from 1 species
GGCCCUAUCGUCUAACGGUUAGGACGCUUGAUUCUCAAUCAAGUAAUCCGGGUUCGAUUCCCGGUAGGGUCACCA